UCCGGCAUAGCUCAGCGGUAGAGUAGGUGGCUGUUAACCACUUGGUCCCUGGUUCGAAUCCAGGUGCCGGAGCCA
rnacentral:tRNA from 4 species